rnacentral:rRNA from 1 species
GUCUUGUCUAAAUUACGUGCCAGCAGACGCGGUAAUACGUAGAAGACUAGUGUUAUUCAUCUUUAAUGGGUUUAAAGGGUACCUAGACGGAAAAUCAAGCCAAAUAAAGGGACUAAUAUUCUAGAGUUUUAUAAAAGAAGAUGGAAUUUUCGGAGUAGAGUUGAAAUUCAGUUAUACCGUGAAGACUGGUAACGGCGAAGGCAAUCUUCUAUGUAAAAACUGACGUUGAGGGACGAAGCCUAGGGUAACGAUAAGGAUUAGAGACCCUAAUAGUCCUAGGAGAAAAUUAUGAAUGUCAUAAGCUAGAUUAUUUUAGUUUAUAAAUGAAAGUGUAAGCAUUCCACCUCAUGAGUAAAGCGGCAACGCUCAAAUUGAAAUCAUUAGACCGUUUCUGAAACCAGUAGUGAAGUAUGUUAUUUAAUUCGAUGAUCCGCGAAUAACCUUACCACAAUUUGAAUAUUUUACAAGUGCUGCACGGCUGUCUUUAGCUAAUGUCGUGAGAUUUGGUUAACUCCUCUAAUUAGCGCAAGCCCUUGCUUUAUUUAUUUUUUUCAUAAAGUAGUUCACCAAUAUAUCAG